GGAAGGAUCAUUAGAUAUCUGCACUAAGGUUCCCCCGAGCCUGUGAUACCUUCCGACACCCACCCUCUGUGGCUUUUCCCGUUGCUUCCAUGGGGUAUGGAGCGGGCUGGCCCCGAUAUACUCCCUGUGGGCCAGGAAGGUAUUAAUUCCCUGGUUUGGUGCCCAUGAAUGAACCUUACAAAACAUUUGUAUUUAUUUUGCCUUCUGUCUGAAUUAUGUUAAUAACAAUCGUUAAAACUUUCAACAACGGAUCUCUUGGUUCUCGCAUCGAUGAAGAACGCAACGAAAUGCGAUAAGUAGUGUGAAUUGCAGAAUUCAGUGAAUCAUCGAAUCUUUGAACGCACAUUGCGCCUUCUGGUAUUCCGGGAGGCAUGCCUGCUCGAGCGUCAUGACGACGAUAUUUCAAGCUCUUUUUUGCUUGGUUCUGAAGGUUGAGUGUCGCAUUUGUGCUCAUUCACCUUUGAAAUUUACAGGCGGACUGCUUCGUGUUCCUUUUGGCGUUAUAGGAUAACUCUUUCGCUUGGACUCGUUGGCCUGUCCUGCCGUCAAACCCCCAACUAUUUUGACGUUGACCUCGGCUUGGUAGGGAUACCCGCUGAACUUAAGCAUAUCAAUAAGCGGAAAAGAAANNNNNNNNNNNNGCCUUAGUAACUGCGAGUGAAGCGGCAAAAGCUCAAAUUUGAAAUCGGGUGUCUUUGGCAUGAGUUGUAAUUUGGAGGGAUAUCUUCGGAGCUGGCGCUGUCCUAAGUUCUUUGGAACCAGACAUCAUAGAGGGUGAGAAUCCCGUGCAUGGCUGGAUGUCCAGCUCCAUGAGAACUGUCUCCGACGAGUCGAGUUGUUUGGGAAUGCAGCUCAAAAUGGGUGGUAAAUUUCAUCUAAAGCUAAAUAUUGGCGAGAGACCGAUAGCGCACAAGUAGAGUGAUCGAAAGAUGAAAAGCACUUUGAAAAGAGAGUCAAAAAGUACGUGAAAUUGUUGAAAGGGAAGCGCUUGAGACCAGAUUCGAGUCGCGGUCAUCAGUCGUGCUUYUGUACGGUGCCACUUGCCGUCGGUUGAGCCAGCAUCGGUUCCGGCGGGGGAUAAAGGUUUCAGGAAUGUGGCUCCUCAAUCGGGGAGUGUUAUAGCCCUCAGGGCGUAAUGCCGCCUGGGAUCGAGGACCACCGCGCUUGUGCUAGGAUGCUGGCUAAUGGUCUUAAGCGACCCGUCUUGAAACACGGACCAAGGAGUCUAACAUCUAUGCGAGUGUUCGGGUGGAAACCCUUGGCGCGUAAUGAAGUGAACGGAGGUGGAACCCUCUCAGGGGUGCACCAUCGACCGAUCCUGAUGUCUUCGGAAGGAUUUGAGUAGGAGCAUAGCUGUUGGGACCCGAAAGAUGGUGAACUAUGCCUGAAUAGGGUGAAGCCAGAGGAAACUCUGGUGGAAGCUCGCAGCGGUUCUGACGUGCAAAUCGAUCGUCAAAUUUGGGUAUAGGGGCGAAA
rnacentral:rRNA from 1 species